AAUCCCAUAGCUCAGUGGCAGAGCAUCUGCUUGGCACUUAGAAGGCCCCAGGUUAAUUCCCCAGUGGCAUCU